rnacentral:tRNA from 1 species
GCCUCGGUGGCGGAAUUGGUAGACGCGCACGACUCAAAAUCGUGUAGUAGUGAUACUGUGAGAGUUCGAUUCUCUCCCGAGGCA